rnacentral:rRNA from 1 species
GACGAACGCUGGCGGCGUGCUUAACACAUGCAAGUCAAGGGGGCCCGAGCAAUGGGCGAACCGGCGAACGGGUGCGUAACACGUGAGCAACCUACCGAAAUGUGGGGGAGUAGCCGGCCUAACGGCCGAGUAAUACCGCAUACGCUUUCCGAGAGGCAUUUCUUGGAAAGGAAACCUACGGGACAUUUCGAGGGGCUCGCGGCCUAUCAGCUAGUUGGCGAGGUAACGGCUCACCAAGGCAACGACGGGAGCUGGUCUGAGAGGAUGGCCAGCCACAUUGGGACUGAGAUACGGCCCAGACUCCUACGGGAGGCAGCAGUGGGGAAUCUUGCGCAAUGGCCUAAC